GGACUUGUUUCCGUGGGGCUGGUGGCUUGUCCAGACGUUGCAUCAGCUGCUGCACCCAGGUCUCUUUAGGGUCUGCACAUAGCUCUGGCUGAGAGCGCUUCCGAGGCAACUCCCUUCUUGAUACCUUGGGUCCAGGGGAUGCAGAAGGCCAGGACCAGGACAAGGAGGCUCAGAGCCAGUGACUGAGCCAUCGCUGUGGUAGAAGGUAGAGACAGCAGGAUUUACUGAUGGAUUGAAUACGGACUAUUAGGAAAAAAGUCAAAGAUGACACCAAUAUUUUUGUCCUGAGA